GACCCUUGAAUUACGCACCGCCGAUUUGUGGAAAGUUAUUGCCAAAUUUGGCAAGGGCAAUGCCCAAGCGUUUAUCAUACUCUCCGCAUUCGAGGAACACCUUGCGAGUGUGAUGAGGCACUACAGAGCCCGAAAACACGUAAUUGUGAAGUAUAAAAGCAGCAUCUUGCAGUUUAAACGCAACCUGAUGGAUCUGAGGGAAGCUCGGGACGCCAAUGGCCGCCAGCUGCUGGCGCGCAAUGACGCGUUUUUGGACAUCGCCGGGUGUUACAUUA